UACGGAGGGUCCGAGCGUUAUUCGGAAUUACUGGGCGUAAAGGGUCCGUAGGGGGACUUAUAAGUCAGAUGUGAAAUUCAUGGGCUCAACCCAUGACGUGCAUUUGAAACUGUAAGUCUAGAGAUUGGUAGAGGUAAGCGGAAUUUGUGGUGUAGCGGUGGAAUGCGUAGAUAUCACAAGGAAGGCCAAAGGCGAAAGCAGCUUACUGGGCCUAAUCUGACCCUGAGGGACGAAGGUCAAGGUAGCGAAAAGG
rnacentral:rRNA from 1 species